rnacentral:tRNA from 1 species
GUGGGUAUAGCUCACUGGUAGAGUGCAUGCUUAGCGUGCAUGAGGUGCUGGGUUCAAUCCCUAGUACCUCCA